CCGAAUCUGAGAACGCUGGCGGUAGGCCUAACACAUGCAAGUCGAACGGCAGCACAGAGGAGCUUGCUCCUUGGGUGGCGAGUGGCGGACGGGUGAGGAAUACAUCGGAAUCUACUUUUUCGUGGGGGAUAACGUAGGGACCAAACUUACGCUAAUACCGCAUACGACCUACGGGUGAAAGCAGGGGACCUUCGGGCCUUGCGCGAUUGAAUGAGCCGAUGUCGGAUUAGCUAGUUGGCGGGGUAAAGGCCCACCAAGGCGACGAUCCGUAGCUGGUCUGAGAGGAUGAUCAGCCACACUGGAACUGAGACACGGUCCAGACUCCUACGGGAGGCAGCAGUGGGGAAUAUUGGACAAUGGGCGCAAGCCUGAUCCAGCCAUACCGCGUGGGUGAAGAAGGCCUUCGGGUUGUAAAGCCCUUUUGUUGGGAAAGAAAUCCAGCCGGCUAAUACCUGGUUGGGAUGACGGUACCCAAAGAAUAAGCACCGGCUAACUUCGUGCCAGCAGCCGCGGUAAUACGAAGGGUGCAAGCGUUACUC
rnacentral:rRNA from 1 species